GUGCCAAGCCACAGCACGUAGACUCAAAUUGGAAUGGUACAAAGAAGAUUAGCCUGGCCCCUGCACAAGGAUGACAUGCAAAUUCAUGAAGCCGUCCAUAUUUUU